ACGGGGUAGGAUCACGUAGGUGACGUACCCCCAGGGCGAGGAUAGCCACGGGAAACUGUGGGUAAUACUCGAUAAUCUUCCCGGUUGUGAUGACUGGGAAGCAAUGGGUGUGAUUCCACCUGGGGAGCGGCUUACGCAGUAUCAGCUAGUUGGUGAGGUAACGGCUCACCAAGGCUUUGACGCUUAGGGGGUGUGAGAGCAUGGCCCCCACCACUGGCACUGAGACACUGGCCAGACACCUACGGGUGGCUGCAGUCGAGAAUCUUCGGCAAUGGACGAAAGUCUGACCGAGCGACGCCGCGUGCGGGAUGAAGGUCUUCGGAUUGUAAACCGCUGUCAGAGGGGAUGAAGUAUACGAGAGCUAUCUCUUGUAUUUGACAGAGCCUCAGAGGAAGCACGGGCUAAGUUCGUGCCAGCAGCCGCGGUAAUACGAACUGUGCGAACGUUAUUCGGAAUCACUGGGCUUAAAGGGUGCGUAGGUGGUUUUCUAAGUCAUGUGUGAAAUCUUCUGGCUCAACCAGAAAACUGCGCGUGAUACUGGAGAACUUGAGUGAGGUAGGGGUGUGUGGAACUUCCGGUGGAGCGGUGA
rnacentral:rRNA from 1 species